CCUACGGGUGGCUGCAGUGGGGAAUAUUGGACAAUGGGCGAAAGCCUGAUCCAGCCAUGCCGCGUGUGUGAAGAAGGCCUUCGGGUUGUAAAGCACUUUCAGUGGGGAAGAAAGCCUUGGGGCUAAUACCCUCGAGGAAGGACAUCACCCACAGAAGAAGCACCGGCUAACUCCGUGCCAGCAGCCGCGGUAAUACGGAGGGUGCGAGCGUUAAUCGGAAUUACUGGGCGUAAAGCGCGCGUAGGCGGUCUGAUAAGCCGGUUGUGAAAGCCCCGGGCUCAACCUGGGAACGGCAUCCGGAACUGUCAGGCUGGAGUGCAGGAGAGGAAGGUAGAAUUCCCGGUGUAGCGGUGAAAUGCGUAGAGAUCGGGAGGAAUACCAGUGGCGAAGGCGGCCUUCUGGACUGAAACUGACGCUGAGGUGCGAAAGCGUGGGUAGCAAACAGGAUUAGAUACCCGAGUAGUC
rnacentral:rRNA from 1 species